rnacentral:lncRNA from 1 species
GAAAAAGAGAGCCACGCGCGUGAAUGAGAGGUCGCCGUGCGGGGGAGGCGCGGCUGCCGGCAACUUUCGGCGGAGCUGAAGCAGACGGCGGCGGCGGAUCUGUUUGAGGGAGGGGAGAAGAGGUGAUGGUGAGAGAGAGAGAAAAUGGGAGUUAUAGAGAGAGAGAGAAAGAGAACCGUGAGGGGAGAGGUGAGAAGAGAGAGAUAUAAGUUGUUUUAAUUGUUCUAUUAUUUUAGGGUAAGUUUUGAUUUUUAUUUUGAGCCUCACUAAUUAUUUUAGUAUGGACAGAUUUUAUUAAAUGAAUGGGCCUAUUGCUAUCAUUCUGAGUGGGCUGAUUUUAUUGAUUUAAAUGAGCUUGUUGCUUUCAAUAUUAUAAUUGAGCUGUAUUAUUUAUAGCAAGUCUUUAAAUUAUUUUUCUUGGACUUUAACUAUUAGUUUGAGCCUGAAAAUGUUUUAAUAAGAAUUAUUAAUUUUUCUUCCAAGAGUAAGGUUCUAUAUUUUUAAAUUAUUAACUAUUUUAUAAGUUUUAAAUCUAUUAUUAAUCAUAUUUAUUAAGUUAUUAAUUAUGUAUUAAAAGUUUAUGGAUUCGCUCAAAGAGAUUAUUAAUUCGGGCAAAGUGUAUCAAUAGUUAGUGAUUUUCCUCUUUGUAUUUAGAAGUUAGAAUAGCACCAAGAGACCUAUUAAGAAUAGAUUUUUUUGUAGGCUUUGAGGAUCAGGAGGAUUAGCACUGCUUUCCCGUGACAGGUUUACGAUUAAACUACAGGCUUUGCCUAUUCAGGUGGGCUUUAUUUUAAAUACAAUGUAUCUUGAGUUAUAUAAGCUCUGAUAUUUCAUGAAAAUUGUCUGUUUAUCCAAUAUAAAUGUUUUUAUGUGCGUUCUGUAAUUGUUUAAGGCUCACUUAAGUAUCGAUCGAGAUUCUCAUUUGGCCUAACACGCUAAAUGAGGAUUGUGUACACAGGGUUAGUGACUCGAUGGAUUGAUCACCAUCGUGCACUAACAGAUUUAGAACGUUAUAAGGGUGGGUGCUUGACAGGAGGUUAUCCGGAGCACGGUGCUUGACAGGAGGUUAUCCGGAGCACAGUUAAGGUUAUUGAUUCCGACCGGGUGCGUCCCGAGAUCAAUAACAGAUUUUGGAUCUGACUGGGUGCGUCCCGAGAUCAGUGAAUGUGGGGAGAAAGUGAGUAACAAUCGAACGUACAUGGCGCGCCACUUAAUGAAGAAAAGUUUUGUCAUGCUUAGAAGUGGAUUUCUGUUUUUAAACCUUCUGAGUUAU